CAGUCGCCACGGGAAUACGGAGGGUGCAAGCGUUAAUCGGAAUUACUGGGCGUAAAACGCACGCAGGCGGUUUGUUAAGUCAGAUGUGAAAUCCCCGAGCUUAACUUGGGAACUGCAUUUGAAACUGGCAAGCUAGAGUCUUGUAGAGGGGGGUAGAAUUCCAGGUGUAGCGGUGAAAUGCGUAGAGAUCUGGAGGAAUACCGGUGGCGAAGGCGGCCCCCUGGACAAAGACUGACGCUCAGGUGCGAAAGCGUGGGGGGCAAACAGGAUUAGAUACCCCAGUAGUCCCUGUCUCUUAUAA
rnacentral:rRNA from 1 species